GGGAGUGCUCGAAAGAGAACCAGUACACAGGUGCUGCAUGGCUGUCGUCAGCUCGUGUCGUGAGAUGUUGGGUUAAGUCCCGCAACGAGCGCAACCCUUGUCAUUAGUUGCUACGAAAGGGCACUCUAAUGAGACUGCCGGUGACAAACCGGAGGAAGGUGGGGAUGACGUCAAGUCCUCAUGGCCCUUAUGGGUAGGGCUUCACACGUCAUACAAUGGUACAUACAGAGCGCCGCCAACCCGCGAGGGGGAGCUAAUCGCAGAAAGUGUAUCGUAGUCCGGAUUGUAGUCUGCAACUCGACUGCAUGAAGUUGGAAUCGCUAGUAAUCGCGGAUCAGCAUGUCGCGGUGAAUACGUUCCCGGGUCUUGUACACACCGCCCGUCACACCAUGGGAGCGGGUUUUACCAGAAGUAGGUAGCUUAACCGUAAGGAGGGCGCUUACCACGGUAGGAUUCGUGACUGGGGUGAAGUCGUAACAAGGUAGCCGUAUCGGAAGGUGCGGCUGGAUCACCUCCUUUCUA
rnacentral:rRNA from 1 species